AGGGCCCCAGGGGUCUAGCGCCCUGUGCUCCAUCCCAUAGCCUGGGACCCUCCCCCCAAGAUGGCCCAGCAGGUGGUGGGAGAGCACCCAUCCCUCCCCCCAGCACACAGAGAGGGCAGGCGGGGGCCCUCUGGCCCAGGAGCUUCUCCCCCACCGCUCACUCUCUGUCUUUGCACCGUGAAGACGGCCAAGGGGUGGCGCUCAGUCUCCAGAGCCGCCGUCACUCAGCCCGGCGAUGCUCUUCAGCCUGGGCCCUGGUGGCGUGGCUGCCAUCGGCUGCCGCCUUACACCCAGCACCCUGACAUUUGGAACCCUCUGCAGUUUCUUGAAAAGACCUCCUUCUUGCCUCUGGGCUUUGCACGUGCCGUUCCCACUUUCCUGCUGCCCAGCCCCCCGAGGGCAUGGGUCAGGGUACCCUGAUGCCCCCGCCGGGGCCAAGGGGGAGCAGGGCUGUGGAGAGCAUGACCCCCUUGUUAAAUCACGUCUGCCUUUAUGCCUUGAUACACCACACAGAGAGAUGACGGGAGAUACCACCAAGAUGAGAUGCCAACCUGGGAGAGGCUCUGCAGGUCCCCUGGUGCCCACGUCUACCUGGCUUGUCCCCACAGGUGGGUUUUCUGAGACAAGGGGGCUUUUGGACACAGGUCUGUCCCCAGAGCCAGCCAGCAGCUCCAGAGAAGAGACAGCAGGUGCCCAGGACGAUGCGGCUUAGUUGCCAGGCUCAAGAGAGGCUCCCUCAAUGAGGCAAGCAGAGUCCCUGCCCAGAGCCCCCAACUCCACACCUCCCCAGGAUGCAGGCCCAGGAGAGGCCCCCUCGAUGAGGUUGCCACGAAACAUCCAAUAUUUGAAAGUGUUCUAUGGACCUCAAAUGGCAUGAGACACCUUAAAAUGUUUGCUGGAUGGCAGUAGGAGGAGGCUCUGCUGCUCAUGUUCAUGGAGUCCCACGGCCACCAGGCCCUUUGAAUCUCGAGUUUCUGGCUUCAGAUGCCCCCAGGUUUCCAGAAGUCAAGAUUUCUAACAAAUGGACCCAAACCCCAAGCCAGCACCUGGAAGUGGCAGCAACACGGCUGUGUGGACCCGGGUGCUGGGAACCUUCUGGAGGCAGCUGGACACAGGGGCUGCCGGUGCGGAGAGGGACGCUGCUCAUUUUGACAUUUCAUCUGAAUAACGUUCCAAGUGUUCUAAUGAAAGCCUCUGCGCUCCCUUUGAAAUACUAGCAAUUACAAAGAUGAAUAA